rnacentral:rRNA from 1 species
UCAGUAACGGCGAGUGAAGCGGCAACAGCUCAAAUUUGAAAUCUGGCCCUAGGCCCGAGUUGUAAUUUGCAGAGGAUGCUUUUGGUGCGGUGCCUUCCAAGUUCCCUAGAACGGGACGCCAGAGAGGGUGAGAGCCCCGUACAGUUGGACACCAAGCCUUUGUAAAGCUCCUUCGACGAGUCGAGUAGUUUGGGAAUGCUGCUCAAAAUGGGAGGUAUAUUUCUUCUAAAGCUAAAUACCGGCCAGAGACCGAUAGCGCACAAGUAGAGUGAUCGAAAGAUGAAAAGCACUUUGAAAAGAGGGUUAAACAGCACGUGAAAUUGUUAAAAGGGAAGCGCUUGUGACCAGACUUGCGUCCGGUGAAUCACCCAGCUCUCGCGGCUGGGGCACUUCGCCGGCUCAGGCCAGCAUCAGCUCGCUGUCGGGGACAAAAGCUUCAGGAACGUAGCUCUCUUCGGGGAGUGUUAUAGCCUGUUGCACAAUACCCUUCGGCGGGCUGAGGUACGCGCUCCGCAAGGAUGCUGGCAUAAUGGUCAUCAGCGACCCGUCUUGAAACACGGACCAAGGAGUCAACCUUAUGUGCGAGUGUUCGGGUGUCAAACCCCUACGCGUAAUGAAAGUGAACGCAGGUGAGAGCUUCGGCGCAUCAUCGACCGAUCCUGAUGUUCUCGGAUGGAUUUGAGUAAGAGCAUAUAGGGUUGGACCCGAAAGAAGGUGAACUAUGCGUGUAUAGGGUGAAGCCAGAGGAAACUCUGGUGGAGGCUCGCAGCGGUUCUGACGUGCAAAUCGAUCGUCAAAUAUGCGCAUGGGGGCGAAAGACUAAUCGAACCUUCUAGUAGCUGGUUUCCGCCGAAGUUUCCCUCAGGAUAGCAGUGUUGAACUCAGUUUUAUGAGGUAAAGCGAAUGAUUAGGGACUCGGGGGCGCUAUAUUGCCUUCAUCCAUUCUCAAACUUUAAAUAUGUAAGAAGCCCUUGUUGCUUAAUUGAACGUGGGCAUUCGAAUGUAUCAACACUAGUGGGCCAUUUUUGGUAAGCAGAACUGGCGAUGCGGGAUGAACCGAACGCGAGGUUAAGGUGCCAGAGUAGACGCUCAUCAGACACCACAAAAGGUGUUAGUACAUCUUGACAGCAGGACGGUGGCCAUGGAAGUCGGAAUCCGCUAAGGACUGUGUAACAACUCACCUGCCGAAUGUACUAGCCCUGAAAAUGGAUGGCGCUCAAGCGUCUCACCCAUACCUCGCCCUCAG